UUCCUACGGGAGGCAGCAGUGAGGAAUAUUGGUCAAUGGUCGGGAGACUGAACCAGCCAAGCCGCGUGAGGGAGGAAGGUACAGAGUAUCGUAAACCUCUUUUGUCAGGGAACAAAGGCGGGGACGUGUCCCCGGAUGAGUGUACCUGAAGAAAAAGCAUCGGCUAACUCCGUGCCAGCAGCCGCGGUAAUACGGAGGAUGCGAGCGUUAUCCGGAUUUAUUGGGUUUAAAGGGUGCGCAGGCGGCCUGUUAAGUCAGCGGUCAAAGCCCGGGGCUCAACCCCGGUCCGCCGUUGAAACUGGCAG
rnacentral:rRNA from 1 species